AUUUUUUUCCGAACGGGUAUUAAACCCAUUACCUCCUCCUAUCUAAAAACCUAUUUUUCAACAAUUAAGCAGACAUAUCUUUUCCAAACAGCCGUCCACAACCCUAAUUGGUGACGGUCAUUAACAAUGUUAGAGGAAAAGAGGCGAAUGAUCUCAGGGGAACUGAAAAACGUACAUGUUAACUAAUCAUAACAUGUUGAUUGCUCAUAGCGUUAAUGGUUUUUGAAAAUAGCUAGUUAGAUAAUUUUAUGUAGAAAUUUUGUAAUGUAAAUUAAUGGUUUUUGUUUCAUUUUCGCGUUCAAUUUGAUUAGUAACAACCUCCACCCAAUUAUGUUUUGUUACGUCUUUGGCAAAUUUUUCACAAAGGCUCCGGCAUAGGCAUUAGCGGCGAUCAAUGUUGCCGCUAUUGAACAUUCGCCGCGUGUAAUAGUGGUGACAUCAUUAGCGGCCACAUAUUUCACCAACAUUGCUCUAAAUCCGAGUAGUGACACGCACAAUCGUAAAUACUUAUUUCUCUUUUGGUUAUUUAAUCAGUUGUGUCUUUUCUAGACCUCUUUAAUUCCCACGGUCGACAACCCUUAUUGGUAAGCUUCAUUGCCAGUGUUAUAUUAUAGGAAACCUACAACGCACUGGCAAUAGGAUCUUAGGCAAAGCGUUCACUACAAGAAACUACCAGUUUUAGCGGCGACAUCUAAAAAGUCGCCGCUAAAAGUCUUGAUCCGGGACAAGGGAUUUGCAAUUGAUCUGGGCCGUUGUUUGCUUAACUAAUCGAGGGGCUAGGGUUUAUCCCUGAAUAAAACAUGUGUAAAAAGGCUCACAUCCUUGUUUUAGCGGCAUUUUCCCUCUUUCCCUCCAAGAUGAAAUCUGCACACACCGCCGGAUCACAACCUUGAGUCUGCCGGAGUACCGCACCGCCUUCACUCUGCCGGAGCACCUCCAUCUCGCCUGAUUCUCCGACGCCACUUCGAAAACGAACCUAUUAAAGGGAGAAUUUGAAAGACAAAGGACCCAAAAUAACCCAUUCUUGGAAGAUGAGGGUGAACUCGGUGAAAGUAGUGCGCCUGCCAUUAGUAAUGUUCAAGUUUUUGAAAAGGUGCUGGGUGCUCAGCGCGGAAUUUAUAGGGGACUUGGGCAUAAACCUUCUUUAUCUUCAGCCUCGAGUGACGUGAGUCCUCAUGAGAAGGAGAAGACACGUCCGUAAUUUUCAGAGGUGACGUGGCAGAUGAUGUGGCAUCCGACGUGGCAGGUGACAUGGCAUCCGACGUGGCGGAUGGCGUGGCAUGAAUAUAUGUGUAGGUAAAAGUAAUUUUAUAUGUAGGUAAAAGUAAUAUUGUCACACCCCUUUCUGCGGCGGAAGCACGAGGUGUGAUCAUGAAAGGUUCUCAUUGCAUACGAAAGGAACGCUCAAGAUGGAUGACAUUUUCAUGAACCCGUUUAGCGACAUGUACGCAUUUGCUG